ensembl:lncRNA
AGACAUGGCAUGGAGGAAGUAAAGGAAAUGGAGGGGAGGAUAGAGGACUGUAAAGUCAAAGAAGGCUGACAAACAGGUUGAAAAAAGAGUAGGAAUGGAAGAGUGAAGAGGGAAAAUAUUGAAAGAAGGAGAGAAAAUGGAGUAAAGCAGAUAGAUGGAGUGUGAGAGAGGAUAGACGACUGUAGUCAAAGAAGGCUGACAAAAAAGUUGAAAAAAAGAGUUGGAAUUGAUGGACAGAGUAAUUGAAAAAAGAAAGGAAAGAAGAGUGAAGAGGAAUGGCUACAGAUAAUGAGAUAAAGGGAGAGUGAAGAGGGAACUGUCUGCCUGCCUUCCUGAUCCUGUAUUUCAGGGUGUGGUUAGGUUCCUGGUCGGACCGUGGUUAAUGCAGUUUCUCUUCCUCCUACUGGGGAAAACAAAAUGCAAAACAUGCAAAAUGCAAACAAAUUUUCUCAUUAAUCUUUCAAUGUCACACUUGUUAUUGUCAGACAUUAAAACAACAUUUCGUGCGAACACUGCACUAUCUGGAACUGAGUUCCUUGGUGCAAUGACAGGUGAAUCAGGUGAAGAUGAACUCUUUAACCCCAGGAAGAGUGCAUUGGAGAUUUUUAUUUGUAUUUUGUCUUACAAAACACAGCUCAAAAAAGCUAAAAGAAAUGCCUUAUUUUAUGACACCAAAAAGGCAGUGACGACAGAACUCAGUAGUUCCUUUGUAACGUCAUUUAACUCAUACUAUUCCUUUUCCCAGAUACACAGAUAAUCUAAUCUGUCCUAACACUGUUGCCUAUUUAUGUUCAUGUUCAUUCAUGUUCAUGCAAAACUCUGCUCUAGAGAAGAGGAAGAAGAAAGGAAAGAAGAGUGAACAAGAGUGGCUAUGGAUAAUGAGAUAAACAGAGAGUGAAGAGGGGAAAUAUUGAAAGGAGAGAAAAUGGAGUGAAGCAGAGAGAUGAAGUGUGAGGGAGGAUAAAGGACUGUAAAGGCAAAGAAGGCUGCCAAAAAGUUGAAAAAAGUGUAGGAAUUGAUGGCAGAGUAAUUGAAAGAAGAAAGGAUAGAAGAGUGAACAGGAGUGGCUAUGGAUAAAGAGAUAAGAGUGAAAGAAGGAAAGAAGAAAGGAAAGAAGAGUAAAAGAAGAGUAAAAGAAGGAAAGAAGAGUGGAAGAAGGAAAGAAGAAAGGAAAGAAGAAAGGAAAGAAGAGUGAAGAAAGGAAAGAAGAAAAAGAAAGAAGAGUGAAAGAAGGAAAGAAGAAAGGAAAGAAGAGUGGAAGAAGGAAAGAAGAGUGGAAGAAGGAAAGAAGAAAAGAAAGAAGAGUGAAAGAAGGAAAGAAGAGUGGAAGAGUGGAAGAAGGAAAGAAGAAAGGAAAGAAGAGUCGAAGAAGGAAAGAACAAAGGAAAGAAGAGUGAAGAAAGUAAAGAAGAGUGAAAGAAGGAAAGAAGAGUGGAAGAAGGAAAGAAGAGUGGAAGAAGGAAAGAAGAAAGGAAAGAAGAGUGGAAGAAGUAAAGAAAAGUGAAAGAAGGAAAGAAGAGUGGAAGAAGGAAAGAAGAAAGGAAAGAAGAGUGGAAGAAGGAAAGAAGAGUGGAAGAAAGGAAGAAGAAAGGAAAGAAGAGUGAACAAGAGUGGCUCUGGAUAAAGACAGUAAAGAGAGAGUGAAGAGGGAAAAUAUUGAAAAGAGAGAAAAUGGAGUGAAGCAGAGAGAUGGAGUGUGAGAGAAAGUAGAGGUAGAGGAAUAGAGAGAAAGAUGGAGAGAAAAAAAAGUAGAGUAUGGAAGGUGUCUCUUAAUAUUCCUAGUUAUACAGUUGAAUGGAGAGGGACAGAGAGAAGAGGAGCCUUGGAACCUUGGCGCAGGUGUCAGUGAAGCACAGGUGCAAGCCAGUUUAAUAACCCUAUAAUGAUGUCAUAAUGGCCUACUGUAAGUCAAUGGGAAGAUUUGUAUUCGUUUUUCUUUAAAAUCUUAAAAAGUAUGAAGUUUAGAAAAAUGAAAAAUACAUAGCAUAAGUGUCCUUUACAAGACCUACGUGCCAAAGUUUGAACGGAGUUUUAAGUUAAGUGGUUCGAGCUGAAUUAAGUGCAGAAGUCGGUACAAAGAAUAAGAAGAAGAAGAAGUAUAAGAACCGAAGGAAUAACAAUACAGGGCAUUUCAUGCACUGUAAUAAUAAGAAGUAUAAGAAACGAAGGAAUAACAAUACAGGGCAUUUCAUGCACUGUAAUAAUAAGAAGUAUAAGAAACGAAGGAAUAACAAUACAGGGCAUUUCAUGCACUGUAA